CGGCAACGAUCCAGGGAAUCACGGUCUCAAUAGUCAAGUUCGGGUGACUCCAGUGGGAAGACGUCGAAGGCAAGACGAGCGUAAGUGCACAGUGUUAACGUUUGAAGACGUGGAAGGCUCGUUAAAAAAAUUCAGCGGAGAUGACCUCCUGAAUGUAACUCAGUGGAUAAGAGAUUUCGAGGAAAUGGCGGAAGUGUGUGGCUGGUCGGACAUCCACAUGGUGGUUUUCGCGAGGAAGCUUCUCACAGGCUCUGCUCAAGCUUUCGUACGCCAGGAACGAUGCAUGAAGUCCUGGGCGAAAUCGAAGGUACAUCAAGUUUUUAAGUGGUUAAAUCCACGUAUGGCUAAUACAGUGGCUAGAAAAGGUAAUCGCGCGUAGCUUUAUUUUCCAGCGAAGCUCUUUUCCUAUCAGAUUCUACGUCCCAAUUUCGUGCUAUCGAAAUAAAAAUUCGAAGCUUUUCCUAUGUUCACAAGUAACAAAUAUAUUCUAAAUCCUGUAUCAGAGAGAAAAAGCUAGCGAUAAAGCUUUUCGUGACGCAAUUAAUCGAGUUUACGAAUGAGCGUCUGCCUGUUCACGCGUUCGCCAUCUUCGCCGACAAAACACGACCUAGAUACGGCGUAUCAAUUAAAAAACCAUAAAGCUGCGAAGAAAACUUUCGCAAUAAUUCAUCCAGACCGCACAAGCCAACUUUCCAACUAUGGAGCGCUACGUUUAGUAUUAAAAUGAUACGUUAGCGUACAUUGAUGGUAAUGAAAAUCCAAUCAACGAUGAACACGUUGAAAUUAAAAGAAAAACGAACGAUUUAUCUCCUCCAACGAUAUCAAGCAUGAAAAUCGCUUUAAUAUACUGUUAUGAAGACAAAUGGCUUGCAUAUUUCACGAUCGCGUUCUCCAACAGAAACCAACCGCGCAGAGGACAGAUAAAACUAAAAGAAAAGAGAAAAGGAGAAGAAAAGGGGGAAGAGAGAGAAGAAAAUUUAUCGAACGGUAAUGCUAAACCUUAAAAUAUCGACGAGUGACGAAACCUUUGGUCGAACAAGAAAGCUCUCGGAUAGUCUAGGAAAUCUUUUAAAACAAUGCUCGUAAAGGAGCACACGAGCACCGUGAAACGUUAUUUCCGCCGAAAGGGUUCGUGACUGGCUUUUAUUGACCCAUGGGAAUAUCUCGUCCUCGGAGCAUCGAAUCACGCUGCCGUGAAACGAAUCGGCGUUGUAGCUGAAUAAACUGUUGCAGUCUCUUUUACGUGCCAAACGAUAGCCGACUUUUUCUCUCGUUGUCGCAACGAGGCGGUACGUUUUUA
rnacentral:misc_RNA from 1 species